GUUAAGCGACUAAGCGUACACGGUGGAUGCCCUGGCAGUCAGAGGCGAUGAAGGACGUGCUAAUCUGCGAUAAGCGUCGGUAAGGUGAUAUGAACCGUUAUAACCGGCGAUUUCCGAAUGGGGAAACCCAGUGUGUUUCGACACACUAUCAUUAACUGAAUCCAUAGGUUAAUGAGGCGAACCGGGGGAACUGAAACAUCUAAGUACCCCGAGGAAAAGAAAUCAACCGAGAUUCCCCCAGUAGCGGCGAGCGAACGGGGAGCAGCCCAGAGCCUGAAUCAGUGUGUGUGUUAGUGGAAGCGUCUGGAAAGGCGCGCGAUACAGGGUGACAGCCCCGUACACAAAAAUGCACAUGCUGUGAGCUCGAUGAGUAGGGCGGGACACGUGGUAUCCUGUCUGAAUAUGGGGGGACCAUCCUCCAAGGCUAAAUACUCCUGACUGACCGAUAGUGAACCAGUACCGUGAGGGAAAGGCGAAAAGAACCCCGGCGAGGGGAGUGAAAAAGAACCUGAAACCGUGUACGUACAAGCAGUGGGAGCACGCUUAGGCGUGUGACUGCGUACCUUUUGUAUAAUGGGUCAGCGACUUAUAUUCUGUAGCAAGGUUAACCGAAUAGGGGAGCCGAAGGGAAACCGAGUCUUAACUGGGCGUUAAGUUGCAGGGUAUAGACCCGAAACCCGGUGAUCUAGCCAUGGGCAGGUUGAAGGUUGGGUAACACUAACUGGAGGACCGAACCGACUAAUGUUGAAAAAUUAGCGGAUGACUUGUGGCUGGGGGUGAAAGGCCAAUCAAACCGGGAGAUAGCUGGUUCUCCCCGAAAGCUAUUUAGGUAGCGCCUCGUGAAUUCAUCUCCGGGGGUAGAGCACUGUUUCGGCAAGGGGGUCAUCCCGACUUACCAACCCGAUGCAAACUGCGAAUACCGGAGAAUGUUAUCACGGGAGACACACGGCGGGUGCUAACGUCCGUCGUGAAGAGGGAAACAACCCAGACCGCCAGCUAAGGUCCCAAAGUCAUGGUUAAGUGGGAAACGAUGUGGGAAGGCCCAGACAGCCAGGAUGUUGGCUUAGAAGCAGCCAUCAUUUAAAGAAAGCGUAAUAGCUCACUGGUCGAGUCGGCCUGCGCGGAAGAUGUAACGGGGCUAAACCAUGCACCGAAGCUGCGGCAGCGACGCUUAUGCGUUGUUGGGUAGGGGAGCGUUCUGUAAGCCUGCGAAGGUGUGCUGUGAGGCAUGCUGGAGGUAUCAGAAGUGCGAAUGCUGACAUAAGUAACGAUAAAGCGGGUGAAAAGCCCGCUCGCCGGAAGACCAAGGGUUCCUGUCCAACGUUAAUCGGGGCAGGGUGAGUCGACCCCUAAGGCGAGGCCGAAAGGCGUAGUCGAUGGGAAACAGGUUAAUAUUCCUGUACUUGGUGUUACUGCGAAGGGGGGACGGAGAAGGCUAUGUUGGCCGGGCGACGGUUGUCCCGGUUUAAGCGUGUAGGCUGGUUUUCCAGGCAAAUCCGGAAAAUCAAGGCUGAGGCGUGAUGACGAGGUACUACGGUGCUGAAGCAACAAAUGCCCUGCUUCCAGGAAAAGCCUCUAAGCAUCAGGUAACAUCAAAUCGUACCCCAAACCGACACAGGUGGUCAGGUAGAGAAUACCAAGGCGCUUGAGAGAACUCGGGUGAAGGAACUAGGCAAAAUGGUGCCGUAACUUCGGGAGAAGGCACGCUGAUAUGUAGGUGAAGUCCCUUGCGGAUGGAGCUGAAAUCAGUCGAAGAUACCAGCUGGCUGCAACUGUUUAUUAAAAACACAGCACUGUGCAAACACGAAAGUGGACGUAUACGGUGUGACGCCUGCCCGGUGCCGGAAGGUUAAUUGAUGGGGUUAGCGGUAACGCGAAGCUCUUGAUCGAAGCCCCGGUAAACGGCGGCCGUAACUAUAACGGUCCUAAGGUAGCGAAAUUCCUUGUCGGGUAAGUUCCGACCUGCACGAAUGGCGUAAUGAUGGCCAGGCUGUCUCCACCCGAGACUCAGUGAAAUUGAACUCGCUGUGAAGAUGCAGUGUACCCGCGGCAAGACGGAAAGACCCCGUGAACCUUUACUAUAGCUUGACACUGAACAUUGAGCCUUGAUGUGUAGGAUAGGUGGGAGGCUUUGAAGUGUGGACGCCAGUCUGCAUGGAGCCGACCUUGAAAUACCACCCUUUAAUGUUUGAUGUUCUAACGUUGACCCGUAAUCCGGGUUGCGGACAGUGUCUGGUGGGUAGUUUGACUGGGGCGGUCUCCUCCUAAAGAGUAACGGAGGAGCACGAAGGUUGGCUAAUCCUGGUCGGACAUCAGGAGGUUAGUGCAAUGGCAUAAGCCAGCUUGACUGCGAGCGUGACGGCGCGAGCAGGUGCGAAAGCAGGUCAUAGUGAUCCGGUGGUUCUGAAUGGAAGGGCCAUCGCUCAACGGAUAAAAGGUACUCCGGGGAUAACAGGCUGAUACCGCCCAAGAGUUCAUAUCGACGGCGGUGUUUGGCACCUCGAUGUCGGCUCAUCACAUCCUGGGGCUGAAGUAGGUCCCAAGGGUAUGGCUGUUCGCCAUUUAAAGUGGUACGCGAGCUGGGUUUAGAACGUCGUGAGACAGUUCGGUCCCUAUCUGCCGUGGGCGCUGGAGAACUGAGGGGGGC
rnacentral:rRNA from 1 species